UUCUGUAUUUUACAGUUUUCAACCUGCCGUUGGGUUCAGGUGUUUGGAGUUUCCAUUUUCUAAACUUCCACAUUCUGAACCUUCUUCAACCCUGAACAGAUUAUUAAAGACUGAAUGAUUUCAAGCAGGAACAUUGUCUUCUAAACUUUCAUCUUUUAUUCUUCAUUCAGAUUGAGUCACUGCAGUUUGUCAGAGAUCAGCUGUGAUUAUCUGGUCUCAGCUCUGAAGUCCAACCCCUCCCAUCUGAGAGAGCUGGAGCUGAGAGAAAACAAACUGCAGGAUUCAGGAGUGAAGCUGCUGUCUGAUCUUGUGGAGAGUCCACACUGCAGACUGGAGACUCUGAGAUGGUGGUCUAACAUAGUUUGAGUGGUGAGGAAGGAGGUUGUGUUGGAGGAUCAGCUGUGUCCUGAUGAUCCAGAGAGGUUGAAGCAGCAGCAUCAACUCUGACUGGGCCAUGUUACUGGGAGGUAGAGUGGAGAGGAGAGCUUCAUCCAGCAGGGACUGACAGAGGAAUCACAACCAGUGGAGAUGACUCUCAGUGCUGCAGUCUGAACUGCUCUGAGAUCAGCUCCACUGUCAGACACAAUGUCAACAUAACUGUAGAUUGAAACUUACUUCACAAAGUGCAAAGAAAGAAAUCAAUUGGAGAUGGAGAGUUCCACAAUAUAUUUUGGAAUCAUUAAUAUUAUUGCAAUAUUAUAUAUCUGUUAUCUUUUAAAAUAGUCAAUUUUUCGAAUAUAUACCAAUGGAUUGUGUUAUUGCAGGAAACUGAACUAAAGAACUGCAAAGUCUGGUGAUAUUGAUCUAUUUUCAUAUUGAUAUUGAUCCAUUGCUAUUUUAAAAAUAUUAAACAGAGUUACUUAAAGUUACUAGAAAUAUAAAUAUAAUGCCUUGCUAUAUUAUUCUAUUGUCUCCAUGUUGGUGUAAAUGAAGCACAUUUGUUGAAUUAUUUCUUUGGUUUCUCCAGAGUUUGAUUUCUGAAGAAGAUUCAACUGUUGGUUGCUUAUUGAUCUGCUGAUUUUCAAAUAAAUAAAUCAAUAACUACCACAAACAUCAGCUUUUUCUCAUUUUAUAACGGAUGAAUAUUUGCUUGUGAAGAACAGAAACAAGAUAAAACCUGAAC
rnacentral:lncRNA from 15 species